GUCGGCUAAUGAAGGGUUUUUGUCCUAUGCUCCUUAACCCAGUAGGAAGCUCUGCUAAAAACUGUAUUUACUUUUGAUCAAACACAAACGGAGUCGUAUUCUAAGAGAAUUAAAUAACAAAGAUUAUUGUAGAACCUUAAAAACGAAGCCGACUGACGCAUUUAUAGGAGAACCGGCUCAACUGAAAACGGCAGACUCCCUUGCAGCUGGGCAAAAUCAAGAAAGCAAGAUAGAAAACUACAGAGAUUUCAGUAAGGCAUCUAAUGCUAGUCUGAGACCAACUGUUUGUGUGCAUCUGCCCAUCUGUUGCUGACCCAGACAAAGGGAUACCAGGAAGAAUAUGUCUUGUGUCCAAAAUAGUGCAGAAAAUCUUCAGAAACAAAUAACCAGGAGGAAAACAUUGGAAUGUCUGAAUUUCCGAAUAGCUGACCAAUUGGAAACAUAGGCUAUCUGGGAAAAACAAUGAGCCUCUGAAUGUUUUAUGCUGGGGGGACUGCAUCCUUCUCUCCCUUAAUAAGUAAUCAAUCCAAUAAACAGUUUUUGCUGACAUUUUCUUGGUCUUGAUGAACUUUGUAAUACAAUCCUGUGAUAAAUCUUUUUCACACAUUUUGUAAUGGACAUAAGGAAUAACCUUGUGGAAAGGGAAGAGCCACAACCCGUACAAUGGUCAAAUAAAAGAGGGCUUAGUCCAGGGCAGAAAUGUGUAA